rnacentral:rRNA from 1 species
CCAAUAGCGUAUAUUAAAGUUGUUGCAGUUAAAAAGCUCGUAGUUGAAUUUUAGGCCUGGCCGUGCGGUCCGUCUUUGGCGAGUACUGUUCUGUGUCGGGUCUUACCUUCUGGUGAACCGGCAUGUUCUUUAUUGAGUGUACCGGGGAGCCAGGACCAUUACCUUGAAAAAAUUAGAGUGUUUAAAGCAGGCAUUUGCUUGAAUAGAUUAGCAUGGAAUAAUAGAAUAGGACGUUGGUUCUAUUUUGUUGGUCUAGGACCACCGUAAUGAUUAAUAGGGAUAGUUGGGGGCAUUAGUAUUCAAUUGUCAGAGGUGAAAUUCUUGGAUUUAUUGAAGACUAACUAUUGCGAAAGCAUUUGCCAAGGAUGUUUUCAUUAAUCAAGAACGAAAGUUAGGGGAUCGAAGACGAUCAGAUACCGUCGUAGUCUUAACCAUAAACUAUGCCGACUAGGAAUCGGGCGACGUUAUUUUUAUGACUCGCUCGGCGCCUUAUGAGAAACCAAGUGUUUGGGUUC